UGUUAGCCCUGCCCUGGGACCAGCUGCUCUAAAUUCUGUACCCUGCAGUAUUUUUCCGCGUUCCCCACCGUCCACACACUCCCCAGCGUCGACUACCUCUUUCCAGAAAACUUUUUCCAUCUUCAUCAGAUACUAACAAGUACACUUUAAGGUUUUACAGGGCUUUUUUUAAGUGGCACCCAUGGAAGAAAUGACGGAGGAAAAUAAUUUUUCGGAACUUGUUACUCAGAUAUUACAAGAGGCGCCGGCUGCCAGGAAGGACCUUGUUGAUAACUGCAGCAACCUCCACCGAGUGGCAGAUUACUGCGAUAACAAUUAUGUUCAGGCAGAAGAUCAAUCCAAGGCGGUUGAAGAGAUCAAGGCUUUGGUGAACCAGUCGCUGGCCAGUGUGACCUAUCAGAUUAACAAUGUGGCCAGCUCUGUGCUGAGACUGCUGGACUUACAGGCCAGGCAGAUUAAAGGCAUGGAGUCCUCCAUCAACCUGCUGUCACUGGCUGCAGCUAUCCACUUUGAAAAGGUGGCCAGGAGAGAGAUCGGUGUGUUCACUACCCCCAAAAACAAGACUUUUUCCAAGCUUAUGACCCCACCAGCUUCAGGCAAGGAGCCCGAGGAAGCCUACUCAAGGGACCCAAUCUCGUACUCCAUACUGGACAACAUAGGACACAGUUUUCAGGUCCCUGAAGCGCCCAGAAAGAGAGCAGGAACUGCAGACAGCAUACAGAGCACUGCAGACACCUCUUUCUCCAGUCACGGCAUCGCUGUGCCACCACCCUCAGUCCCCGCCAACAACAGCCUGCCUCCUCCUCCUCCGGCCUCUUCGGCCAGUUUGGACCCCGACCUGCCUACUCCCCCGCCGCCUCCCUCUUUCUCCAUGGACGCUGACCUCCCCCCUCCGCCCACCUUCCCCUCGCCCACAGAUCUCCCCCCGCCUCCCCCUCCCCCUCCACCACCUAUAAGCCCAUCAAGCACCUUCCCGUCGCCACCUCCUCCCAUAUCUUCAGGUUCCCCUCUUCCUCCUCCGCCUCCUCUUCUGUCAGCACCACGUCUCAACACUGGCACCUCUGUUAAUGUGCCGCCACCGCCUCCCCCACCUCCCCCACCUCCCCUAAGACUGUAACAUUACAGUGUGUCUUGUACUUGGUAGAAUAACUUCUCAUAUUACUUGCGGUUACUCAGACUGUGAACAAGCCUGUGAGAUCAACAUUUUGUUUUUUUUUUAGCUCGAGAGCUUGCAGUGGUUUAAAGCCUGUUGAAUGGCAGUUCUGUUGGUACAGAUAGCCGCUGUACAGAUUCCUCCAACAUGUCUCAACAACACCUCGACUGCAUUCCUUAAAAACAAGCUGAAACAGGGAUUCUUGCUCUCCCUUGUCUGCUUAUCCCCCCACCCCACCCCCCACCCCAAAUGUGAUUUCCUUUCCUUAUUACACCUUCAUAUUGUUACCUUUAAUGGCAGUGGACUUUAGCCCAGUGCAGCUGUCAAUAUACUGUGUAGCAAGAGCAUAACUGAUGAUAAGUUGCGUCAGUAGCGCCAAUCUAGGUGAUUUCUGCUUCUUAAACAAGUCCAUGAGGCUGUACAUUGAUAUAAGUCAACAUUCUGCUUAACCUGCAUAUAGCUGAAGCUUUAAAGAAAAAUCUGAUGGACUUCAACUUUCUUAUUUAUUUGGUUCCUGUGUUGAUUGUCGCCAUCCUUGUGUGCAUAUUUUGUUGCCUAACUUAUAAUAGAGAACCAGGACAAUACUGCUCAUCUAGUUACAAUAAUUCUCCCGCUGUGUACACGAUUCCUAUACUGGACGAGCAACAGCGGGACGAGGAGGAAGUAAUUCACGUUUAUGAACUGUAUUUUCAGCCUCCUGUGUACAACUUAAGAAAUGACAGUCCUCCCCCUCCAUACAUACUUGAACCACCACCCUACAUCAACCCACCUUCACCACCACCCUACAUCAACCCACCACCGUGCCUCAACCAGCUCCCACUUCCCCCACCACCGUCGCCACCACCACUGCCAGCCCCACCACCCUACAUCAACCAGUCACCACUGCCACCAACGCCGCCACCGCCACUACCAUCACUACUACUACCAGCACCACCACCCUACAUCAGUCCACCAUCAUCCCCCUAACUCAGCCCAUGACCAUUUAUGCCUUCUUCCAUCCAUUCCAAAAUAUGAGCAUAUAUGUGGUCAGAAGUUUCAUUUGGGACAUUCGGUGUAUGUAUUAGAUUAAAUAUUGUAAUUCCACAUUGUGGGCGAAAGAUUCCUGUAUUGACAUAGUUCAUUUCAAACUUAAAUGCACUAAUGCACUUAUAUAUAAAAUAUGUUUUUGGUGAAAAGUUUUCUUGUAGUUUUUUUUGUUUGUUUGUUUGUUUUUGCUGUUUCAUUGUAAUGAUCCUGCUUCACAACAAAUUCACAUUUAAAAAACUGACCUGAUGUUUCUCAAAGGAAGACCGAGGAAUAUGGAGGACCACAAGAGCCACGCGCAUCGAAAUAAAAAUUUCUGUGCUUAAAUAAUGAAUUGUAGAAUAAAUUCUGCAAUUGUAAAUUCAUUUUUGAAUUCCAA